UUUUCAGCCUCAAGGAACUCAUAACAGUAAUUUAAUAACUCUCAUAUAUUCUUUUCCCUCUCUUGCUCUCUCCAUUUCCCUCAUGGAUACACAGAGGCAAGUUCUAUAGUGAGUUCCAGAAUGUAUGGAUUCUAUAUGCAUCCCAGGAUUCACAAAGUUCUUUAAUUCUGGGCCCCCAAAUUAUGCUUAAAAUGAAGACAUUAUUGCAAGCUCUUCCUUCCAUUGGUUCUGUCCUCACAAAAAUGUCAUUGCCCUCAGAUGAGGUGGAAGAUGGCUUCUACCAGAAACCUGAGAACUCUCUAGUUGGUUCCUAUAUAUGGAAAAAAUACAAGGGAGACAUCACCUGGCAUUCUGCCUCAGUCAUCAAAAUAUCACAAGAUGCCUUUGGACAAAAGAAAUGGAAAGCUUCAGAAAACAAUGCAUGCUUUUCAAAAUUAAUUUUAGAAAUGUUUAUCCUUAAGUGCGGCAAAAAUGUAUCUGAGGAAAUCCUUAAGGGAAGAGGUCUGAGGUUGACAACUCUAUAAUGUGUCUUGUUCUUGUCAGCUCCAGAGAUUGGAAGUCUCAAUCCUCCUAAUGGUAUUUCUAUUCCCGGUGCUAAGAAAGGAUUAAAACUUCCUCAUACUCAUACUUCAGUAAACUUACUGUAAUCAAAGCUACAGUAGAAUUGAAACUGAUUCUAUAAUGAUUGGAUUGCAGACUUAGAAAACUUUUGGGAUGGAUGGAUGCAUCAACACUUGGCUUCAAAUAGGCAUAAAAUUUCAUACUCAUCCCCUGCGGUACCUUUUGUUUGUACAGCAAAGAAACCUAAAAAUAUUUCCAAAGUGUGCUUUGGGGCAUUUUGCAGCCUUCUGCUUAUUUAUUUUUCUGUGUUGCUGUUAGUUUAAUGUUACUGACAAAACUGCAGUAAGUACAGGGUUGAGACUGAUAUCCGCCAGGGCCCUUUGCAAGAAACAGAGUGGGAGAAUUUUUUUCAGCUUUCCCAAGUUUCUUUCCUUACAUUUUAAUUCUCUGUGUGAAGGUGGUCCUUGACUUAUGACCAUUUAUUUAACACCUGUUUGAAUUUACAACGGUGCUGAAAAAUCUGAGUAACAAUAGAUCCUCACACUUACCGGUUGCAGUGUCCCCAUGGUCACCUGAUCAAAAUUUAGGCACAUGGCAAUUGGCAUGCGUUUAUGACGUUUGCAAUCAUUUGUGAACUUCUCAGGGUGCUUCCAACAAGCAAAGUCAGUGGGGGAAGCCAGAUCUGCUUAAUGACUGCAAAAAAUGUCAUAAAAUUGAGUGUGACUCACUUAACAAUUUCAUCAGUUAGUGAUUGAAACUCCAGUCCCUAUUGCGACCAUAAGCGAGGGUUACUUGUAUGGAUGUUUAUUUGUCUGCAUUGUACCUGAUUGUGAAGGUCAGUUUGUGCAACAGAGCUAUUUGCCAAAAAAGAUGGUCCAAAUAAUACAUAUUUUCUGUUGCUCUACCCUCUAAUAGGAAAUUUUGCCCUGUCUUAAUUUGCAAUAUUAUGCUUUUAUGCUGAAAUCCUUUUAAAAAAAAAACUUAAGAUAUUUCUAGAAUGUUGCCUUUUAAUCCCAUAUUAUAUCUUUUCUACUGACAGUAUUUAUUUAUCUAUUGAUUAGCAGUUAUUUUGAUAGAAUGAUGAGCAUGUAAAUGUGUGUGUUGCUGAUCUUAAGCACAAAUUUUAUUAUAUGCCGAUGUAUCAGAAAAGUAUGUCCUAAAGCCUGCAGUUACAUUUCAUCCAAAUUCCUGUUCCCUGUUUUUUAGGAAUGGCUUGAAAAAAAUAUAUACUAUUGAUGAAAAAUGAAGGUGCCAAUAGCAAAACCGAUUUUAGAAUAUAUAGAAAAUACAUUUUAAAACCACAGUAUCUUAUAAUUGUCCCUGUAAUAGGGAAAAUAAUAUGUAUAAAUGGAAUAAUUAGAAAUAUGUCUGCAAAAUAUAUUAAUUUCUCCCA